UUCAGUUGCUUUAAUCAUUUCUAAUUUGCAAAUUUUAUAUGAUAAAAUAACUAAAAAAUUGUGAGAAUAGGAAGUAUUGUGUUAUGAAAAUAGCUUUUACUAGUUUUUAAUGUUAUCUCACCGUUCCAAAAGAAAAAAGUAAUUUUGUCAGAAAAUAUCGAGAGUUCUAUAUUAUUUAAUUAAUUAGAUUAUGACUUUUAGCCUUUUUAGUGCAAACAUUUUUUUGAACCGUCAAGCGAAAAUAUAUAUAUUAAAGAAAACCACUCGUUUGAAAAAAAAUAUAUAUCAAGUUACUAGGAGUGGAAGAAACAGUACAUGGAAAUCAAAAUAGAUGGAUGAAGGGAAAAAAAACAUUAUAGUGAAUUAAAAAGAAUCAUAUUCCAUUCGGUUUUUCGCGAUCACCUCUGUGCAUAAAACAAAGGAAUGUUGUGGCCUUGAUUAUAUCCGCUACUUUCGUAGCACACACCGGUUUAUUAUUGAAUAACCUUUCGUUUGUUGCCUUCCAAAUGCUCCAUAACAUCCCGUAGAAGAUUCCCAACAGUCGUUUCUUUUUUUUUGGACAAUUUCCCAAAUUAGAGGCAUAAUCAAUAACAUUGUUUACCGUAGGGAAGUUAUCUAUGGGGAUGUCGCACCAUUUAAAGAUCAAUUUUUAUGACUGGUUUAGCAAAAGAGCACCGGACCAAUACAUGAUUAGAAGUUUCCUCAGUCAAAUUACACAAACAACAUGUAAUGGACUCUAAAUUAAUACUCCGUUUAGCGAGCACCACAACGGAUGGGAUGGGACCCAUUUUUGUCCUCCAAAUGAAGCAAGUGACCAUUAUUGGGACCUCAUUAAUCCAAUUAAACAUGUCAUUAUCCAUGGUACCCUUGUCUUCCAAUACAUAACGAAGAGCACUCACCUAGUAUCUCUCAUCCCCAGUAAGAUCACACGUCCAUGAGGCGUCAUUUUCCCCUUAGUGUUUUUUGAUGAUUUUAUCAUGUAGGAUGUUCGCUUUAACGAUAUCACGUUUGAUGCAAGCAAUGUUGCUCCAAACCCGUGUCAUCGUUUUUAAAGAUGUCUCGUGAGUCUCAUGUUAGCACCUACAUGAACACCAAGAUAUGUGAAGAAGAGUAAGAUGGAGGGUUCGCAACCAAGGGGUGAGACCGGGAGACUUCAUUUAACUCAGCCCCGACACCAAAAAGUCAAAAACUCUUGAUUUGUUAAAAUUGACUUUAAGACCGGAGGCGACGUGGAAGCAACGGAGGAUUCAUGCCAAAUUUUUGUUGUUAUGUUUUGACUAUUCGUCUACGGAUGAUUCAUCAUCCGUGUAGAGGAGGUGUGAGAUUAAUGGACCUUUGUUUGGUAAACGAAGUCCUUGAAAAAACACCCUUAUUGCAUGCAGCUUGCAUUGCCACACUUGGACCUUCCAUGGAGACAAUAAAAAAGGAAGGGGAGAGGGGAUCUCUCUGUCGACCCCCUUUCGAUGUCGUGAAUUCAUCAGUUGGGUUUUUGUUGAUUAAAAUAGAAGUGUGCGAUGAUUGUAGGCAACCCUUCAUCCACAUUCUCCACUUACCUCCAAAACCCAUUUGCAUUAGAUUGCUAUCCAAAAAGUCCCAAUUUAAUGAGUCGAAAGCCUUGUCAAAAUCUACCUUGAAGAGUAGAGUUUUCUUUUUGGUCUUCUUUGCCCCCGAGUAUAAUCCAUUUACCAUGAGCAGUCCAUCCAAUAUGCUUCUACCUUCCAUGAAUGUUGAUUGUACUUUAUAGAUACAUCGACUAGGGCUGUAAAUGAACCGAACGAACACGAACGGGGCUUGUUCAAGUUCGUUUGUUUAAGUUAACUGAACAAAUGAACGAACACGAACAAUUAAACCAACAAGUUUUCUUGUUCAUGUUCGUUCAUUUAACAAAUUACAUUGUUCAUGUUCAAUUAGUAAGUGUUGGUGGCUAUUUCACAAAAAUUUGGGUUAGAGGGGGGAUUUUUCUUAUCAAUUAGUAAAACUAGUAGCUUUUAGUCAUGGGUGUUUUCCCUUCUAACUCAUUUGAACGAAUUUCAGCAAUAAGAGAGAUCUACUUGAAAAUUCCUCCUCCUAAAUCCAUGGAGGUUUGAAACUUGAAGAUCUUUUGGUGAAGCCUUGGUCAUUUCACAUUCAUCUCCUAGCUUAGACGACAUUUAUUCUACUCCAUUUCUUCUCAUUCAUGUCUAGGAUUUAUGAGAUUCUCCAAAUCCGAAUUCUCCAUGUUUAAUCCUAGAAUUCCUUGAGUUUAUAGUAAUCAUCACCUUCCUUAAUCAUUCUCUAAGAAACAACUUCCAUUAUUAUGUUUUUUUGGAGUUUUAGUGGUGAUUUGGGGUUUUCUAACCCUAAGCUUUCUCAAAACUGAAUUUGAAGGAUCAUUAGAUGUUUAUGAGUUGGUUCUUAUGUUUGAAGUCCUCUUUAGUUUAUCAUGAGGUUGUUGUCUAACCAACGGAUGGUUAAAUUUCAUCUCCAAUGAUGGAAUAAGGUGAUAUGAACCCUAAUCUAUAUGUAUGAGUUUGAUGGAUGUAUUGAACUACUUUUAAGCUUACAAAUUAAACAAGUUUUAGUAUAGAAUUUUUAUUUCUCAAAGUAAUAAUGCCAACAAAAUGAAUGUUAGAUCUAAUUUGCAUGAUUGUAAACUCAUGAAUACACGUAUGACCACUAAUUUAAAAAAAAAAAAAAAAAGGAUGAAGAA